AUGACCAUGCCCUCUGAAUUCCAUUCCCAGCCCCUGAGCACAAUCCUACUCCUGCUCGUCCUCCUUUCAACAGCAUCUCACAUGAUCCUGGAGGCUGUUGCUUCUGAGCAAGAUGAGCAGCAGCCAAUCACACUUCCGGGUUGCCCUGACAAGUGCGGCAAUAUAAGCAUUCCCUACCCAUUCGGCAUGAAGCCUGGCUGCUUCCGCGAGGGCUUCCAGGUCACCUGCAACGACUCCUUCUAUCCCCAUCGCGCCUACCUUGCCUACGACGGAGUAUUCCAGCGGAUUAAUGAGAUUUACUUCAGGGCGCAGAAAGGGUUGUGCCAGCGUAAUCGUGUUUGGAAUAGAACACGGGAAGAUACGGCCUUGGAGCUCAUCGAUAUAUCAGUUGCAAAGGGUGAGGCGCGCGCAUACGCCGCAAUCUCAUCUCGCUGCAGCGCAAACCAUACCGACUCCUUAAGCAAAUCUCUACGGAUGCGGUUGGGAGAAAAGAUGAGCCCGUUUGUCGUGUCGGUGACACGCAAUGUUCUCAUCGGCGUAGGCUGGAGAGUCCAGCCUAAGAUGAAUAGCUACUUGUGGUCAGCGUUGGCGUCAGACGCGGUGUCGGCGCAUGGAUAUUCAUCGAAUGAACUCACUAUUUCCUGCCUUUCAUACCUCAUGCGCAUGCCGCAGUUCCUCAAGUUCGCGACCAACGGGUCGUGCUCGGGGCGGGGCUGCUGUCGGGCUGCCUUGCCCGAAGCGGUUGCACUCACCAGGUUUGCAUUGUGGAUCAGUUUCGAUGAACCAAACACCUUGUUUGUGACCAAUCCAUGCUCCUACGCCAUGGUGGUGGAGAGCACAUGGUAUAACUUCACCACGCCGGACAUGUACGGUUACGAGGAGAUACCCAAGAAAUUCCCAAGGGGCGUCCCCUUGGUAAUCGAUUUCUCCAUCAGGAAUGGUUCAUGUCCAGAGAAAGGCCAGCAUCCACCUCCGGACUAUGCUUGUGUCAGUGGCAACAGCUCAUGUUCAAACGCGACCAGUGGCCUGGGUUAUGUCUGCAAGUGUUGGGACCAUUACGAUGGGAACCCUUACAUCGCCAAUGGAUGCCAAGACAUUGACGAGUGUAAGCUUCGCGAUUUAUAUCCUUGCUCCAGUGACGGGAUCUGCAAAAACACGUUGGGAGGAUAUGCAUGUCCAUGUAAAUCCGGAAUGAAAGGCGAUGGCGUAAAAGGAACCUGCACACAUAUUUUCCCCCAAGCAGCACGGACGAUUUUGGGUGCAACAAGUGGUAUUUUUUUGGUGGCAGUCUUGUCAUUCCUUAUUUUCCUUCGCAAAGAGAAAAGGAAAAUGAAAGAGUUUUAUGAGAAGAACGGUGGGCGUACAUUGGAGAAGGCAAAAUUCAUAAAACUAUUCGAAAAGGAGAAGCUCAAGUCAAUUUUGAAGAGUAGCAAUUUUAUUGGAAAAGGUGGCUUCGGUGAAGUUUACAAGGGCCUUCUUGAUAAUGAACAAGUCGCUGUUAAGAAACCUAUUACCGGUAGUGUGCUAGAGAAUGAACAAUUUGCAAAUGAAGUCAUCAUUCAAUCUCAAAUCAUCCACAAGAACAUCGUUAGGCUUGUGGGUUGUUGCCUAGAAGUUGAUGCCCCGAUUCUAGUCUAUGAGUUUCUCUGCAAUGGUAGCCUCGAUGACAUUCUUCAUGACAGCAGGAAGGUGCCUCUGAACUUGGGUGUGCGUUUAAGUAUUGCCGCAGAAUCAGCUGAUGGUCUGGUUUAUAUGCACUCAAAAACCAGUACCAAGAUCCUACAUGGUGAUGUUAAACCAGCAAAUAUACUUUUGGAUGAUAAGUUUGUGCCAAAGAUCUCGGACUUCGGCAUAUCAAGGUUGAUUGCGAGAGACAUACAACAUACUGGAUCUAUCAUUGGUGACAUGAGUUAUAUGGACCCAAUAUAUCUGCAAACAGGGCUACUAACAGAAAAAAGUGAUGUCUACAGUUUUGGAGUUGUCAUCUUGGAGCUUAUUAGUAGGAAGAAAGCCACACAUUCUGACGGCGGUAGCUUAGUAAACAAUUUCCUUGAAGCUUACAAGAAAGAGAAGAAAGCAACUCCAUUAUUUGACGAGGAAAUUGCAGUAACAGAAGACUUGGAGAUUCUUGAUAGUUUGGCCUGUAUCGCUGUGGAAUGUCUUAACCUUGAUGUGGAUCAAAGACCAUGGAUGACAGACGUAGCAGAGCGUCUUAUCAUACUGGAUCGAUCCCGUAAGUCACAAUUUACACUGCAUGUUCCAGUUUGA
rnacentral:rRNA from 1 species